rnacentral:sRNA from 1 species
GUUAAACGCAAAGGUUUGCGUUAUAACGCAAACCUUUUGCGAUAUAACGCAAACCUUUUGCGUUAUAACGC